GUGACCUCAAAUCAGGUAGGACUACCCGCUGAACUUAAGCAUAUCAAUAAGCGGAGGAAAAGAAACUAACAAGGAUUCCCCUAGUAACUGCGAGUGAAGCGGGAAAAGCUCAAAUUUAAAAUCUGUCAGUCUUUGGCUGUCCGAGUUGUAAUCUAGAGAAGCGUCGUCCGUGCUGGACCGUGUACAAGUCUCCUGGAAUGGAGCGUCAUAGAGGGUGAGAAUCCCGUCUUUGACACGGACUGCCAGGGCUUUGUGAUGCGCUCUCAAAGAGUCGAGUUGUUUGGGAAUGCAGCUCAAAAUGGGUGGUAAAUUCCAUCUAAAGCUAAAUAUUGGCGAGAGACCGAUAGCGAACAAGUACCGUGAGGGAAAGAUGAAAAGAACUUUGGAAAGAGAGUUAAACAGUACGUGAAAUUGCUGAAAGGGAAACGCUUGAAGUCAGUCAUGUUGUCCAGGGAUCAACCUUGCUUUUGCUUGGUGUACUUUCUGGUUGACGGGUCAGCAUCAAUUUUGACUAUUGGAAAAAGAUUGAGGGAAUGUGGCAUCUUUGGAUGUGUUAUAGCCCUUGGUUGCAUACAAUGGU
rnacentral:rRNA from 1 species